UACGUAGGGUGCAAGCGUUGUCCGGAAUUAUUGGGCGUAAAGAGCUCGUAGGCGGUUUGUCGCGUCUGCUGUGAAAACUCGGGGCUUAACCCCGGGCCUGCAGUGGGUACGGGCAGACUAGAGUGCGGUAGGGGAGACUGGAAUUCCUGGUGUAGCGGUGAAAUGCGCAGAUAUCAGGAGGAACACCGGUGGCGAAGGCGGCAUCCUGGACCGGCAUUGACGCUGAGGCGCGAAAGCCAGGGGAGCAAACGGG
rnacentral:rRNA from 1 species